rnacentral:rRNA from 1 species
UACAGAAGGCCCGAGCGUUGUUCGGAUUCAUUGGGCGUAAAGGGUGCGUAGGCGGUGGGGUAAGUUGGAUGUGAAAUCUUGGGGCUUAACCUCAAAAUUGCAUUCAAUACUGCUCCGCUCGAGUUCUGUAGAGGAGAUUGGAAUUUACGGUGUAGCAGUGAAAUGCGUAGAUAUCGUAAGGAACGCCAGUGGCGAAAGCGAAUCUCUGGGCAGCAACUGACGCUGAGGCACGAAGGCCAGGGGAGCAAACGGG